GACGAACGCUGGCGGCGUGCCUAAUACAUGCAAGUAGAACGCAGUUGCGAACGUGUGAGUAACGCGUCGUUAACUCCCUCAUAGCUGGGGAUUACUAUUGGCAACUAUAGCUAAUACCUCAUACUGUGCGUUGUACCUGCGUUGUAUUAGCUAGUUGGUGAGGUAAAGGCUCACCAAGUCGACGAGACAUAGCCGACCUGAGAGGGUGAUAGGCCACACGGGGACUGAGAGACGGCCCAGACGCCUACGGGAGGAAGCAGUAGGGAAGCGGCGGAAAUGGAAGGAAGUCUGACCAAGCAACGCCGCGUGAGUGAAGAAGGUUUUCGGAUCGUAAAGCUCUGUUGUUAGAGAAGGGGUAACUAACCAGAAAGGGACGGCUAACUACGUGCCAGCAGCCGCGGUAAUAC
rnacentral:rRNA from 1 species